GACGAACGCUGGCGGCGUGCUUAACACAUGCAAGUCGAACGGAAAGGCCCUGCUUGGGUUGGUUGCUCGGGUGACGAACGAGUAAGACACAAGUAAGUUGCCUGCCCUUGACUGUUGGAUACCGUCAAGGAACUGGAGCUACUGACGCAUAGAAGCUCCUGCUGCGUGGGGGGGGGUGGAAUGUUUGGGCGGUGGGGGAUGGGCUCGCGGCUUAUCAGCUUGUUGGUGGGGUAGUGGCUUACCAAGGCUUUGACGGGUAGCCGGCCUGAGAGGGUGACCGGCCACACUGGGACUGAGAUACGGCCCAGACUCCUACGGGAGGCAGCAGUGGGGAAUAUUGCACAAUGGGCGGAAGCCUGAUGCAGCAACGCCGCGUGCGGGAUGACGGCCUUCGGGUUGUAAACCGCUUUCGCCUGUGACGAAGCGUGAGUGACGGUAAUGGGUAAAGAAGCACCGGCUAACUACGUG
rnacentral:rRNA from 1 species